GGGUCAGUAGGUUGGUCGUGCCACCGGUACGUACUGGUCUCACUGAUUCCUCCUUCCUGAAUAACCGUAAUGCCAUUAAUUUGGUGUUGCGGGGAAACAGGACUGUUACUUUGAAAAAAUUAGAGUGUUUAAAGCAAGCUAACACUUGAGUACAUUAGCAUGGAAUAAUGAAAUAGGACGAUCGAUCCUAUUUUGUUGGUUUCUAGGAUUGACGUA
rnacentral:rRNA from 1 species